rnacentral:rRNA from 1 species
UACGGAGGGUGCGAGCGUUAAUCGGAAUUACUGGGCGUAAAGGGUGCGUAGGUGGUUAAUUAAGUUAUCUGUGAAAUCCCUGGGCUCAACCUGGGCAGGUCAGAUAAUACUGGUUAACUCGAGUAUGGGAGAGGGUAGUGGAAUUUCCGGUGUAGCGGUGAAAUGCGUAGAGAUCGGAAGGAACACCAGUGGCGAAGGCGGCUACCUGGCCUAAUACUGACACUGAGGCACGAAAGCGUGGGGAGCAAACAGG